rnacentral:guide_RNA from 1 species
AGAACAUAAAUCAGCACAGAGAUAUAGUGAUAGAUGAUAUUA